rnacentral:rRNA from 1 species
AUGAGCUCGAGCUCGACAGGGGAGCGGUGGGGAGAGGAACGUGAGGCCAUGGGGAGGAAGAAGAUGGCGCCGCCUCCGCCGUCGGCAGGAGGGGGCCGCGGUGGCCGCCGCGCAGCCCGACCAGGAGCUCCCCGGCGAGCAGCCAUUCCCCUACGAGAAGAAGGUGAGGAGGACACGCCCCUGCGUCAAGAGAUCCGUCAAGAGAUGCUCGCGCCGCGAGAGGAAUCCACAUCUGCUCCUACUGCUCGACUGAUUCCAGAUCGAGGGACGCCUGCUUCUGCUCGCUACGGACGGCGCCCGCCGAAGUAG